CCUGCCAUUAGUCAUAUGCUUGUCUCAAAGAUUAAGCCAUGCAUGUCUAACUAUAAAUGGAUUAUACAGUGAAACUGCUUAAUGGCUCAUUAAAUCAUUUAUAGUUUAUUUGAUAAUACCUUUUACUUGGAUAACCGAAAUAAUUUUAAAUCUAAUACAUGCGUGAAAGUGCGACUUUUGUGGAACCACUGUAUUUAUUAUAUACAAAACCAAUCUAGCUUGCUCGCUACCUUGAUGAUUCAUAAUAACUAAACUAAUCUUAUGACUUUAUGUCAACGAUGAUUCAUUCAAAUUUCGGCCCUAUCAACUUUCAAUGGUAAGGUAUUGGCUUACCAUGGUUACAACGGGUGACGGACAAUUAAGGUUCGAUUCCGGACAGGGAGCCUGGGAAACGGCUACCACUUCUACGGAUGGCAGCAGGCGCGCAAAUUACCCAAUCCUGACUCAUGGAGGUAGUGACGAAUAAUAACGAUACGUGACUUCAGUCUAAUAAUUGGAAUGAGUACAAUUUAAACCCCUUAAUGAAUUCCAUU
rnacentral:rRNA from 1 species